ensembl:lncRNA
CAAUUUAUGGAUGCCUUAUGUGAAAAAUCCUGAAGUAGAGAAGAGAAGAUAAUAGACAUGAAGAGAAGAGAGGUAAAGAGAAGAGAAGAGAGGUGAAGAGAAGAGAAGGGAAGAGAGGUGAAGAGAAGAGAAGAGAGGUGAAGAGAAGAGAAGAGAGGUGAAGAGAAGAGAAGAGAGGUGAAGAGAAGAGAAGAGAGGUGAAGAGAAGAGAAGAGAGGUGAAUGGAAGAGAGGUGAAGAGAAGAGAGGUGAAGAGAGUUCAAGAGAAGAGAAGAAAGGUGAAGAGAAGAGAGGUGAAGAGAGUUCAAGAGAAGAGAAGAAAGGUGAAGAGAAGAGAGGUGAAGAGAGUUGAAUAGAAGAGAAGGUCUGUUUUGAGCACACAGACUGGAAUAUGUUCAGAGAGUUCGCUGUUGAAAACCCAAGACUCUGCCUUCAUCUCUGAUGAUAAGGCAGCCCUCCGCACAGCAAGGGCCAAUCAAAGCACAACUACGCAGAAAUAAUCCACAGUCACUUCACAAACACCAAGGACACAAGGCUAUGUGGCAAGGCAUUCAGGCCAUCACAGACUACAGACAACACCACCUGUCUCUGAUAAUGAGGCCUCGCUCCAAGAUGCUCUGAACAAUUUCUGUGCAUGGUUCGAAGCACAGAACAACAUGCCAGUGAGGAAAACCACCCCAACUCCCACAGACCAAGUACUUCAUCUGUCUGUAGUAGACAUCAGGAAAACUGUCCUGAGUCAACACACAGAAAGCUGCAGGUCCUCAAAACAUACCUGGCCGGGUGCUCAGGAAAUGUGCUGAUCUGCUUGCAGAUGUCCUCAGACAACUUCAAGACAUCUUCCCUGAGCCAAGCAGUUGUCCCCUGUGUGCUUCAAGACAACCACCAUCAUCCCUGUGCCGAAAAAAUCAUCUGUGUCCUGCCUGAGUGACUACAGGCCUGUUGUUU